UACGGAGGAUGCGAGCGUUAUCCGGAUUUAUUGGGUUUAAAGGGUGCGUAGGCGGGCUUUUAAGUCAGCGGUAAAAAUUCGGGGCUCAACCCCGUCCGGCCGUUGAAACUGGGGGUCUUGAGUGGGCGAGAAGAAGGCGGAAUGCGUGGUGUAGCGAUGAAAUGCAUAGAUAUCACGCAGAACCCCGAUUGCGAAGGCAGCCUUCCGGCGCCCUACUGACGCUGAGGCACGAAAGUGCGGGGAUCGAACAGG
rnacentral:rRNA from 1 species